AUACGGAGGAUGCGAGCGUUAUCCGGAUUUAUUGGGUUUAAAGGGAGCGUAGGCGGGAGCUUAAGUCAGCGGUUAAAUGGUGCGGCUCAACCGUGCCCUGCCGUUGAAACUGGGUUUCUUGAGAGUGCAAGAGGCGGAUGGAAUUCAUGGUGUAGCGGUGAAAUGCUUAGAUAUCAUGAAGAACUCCGAUUGCGAAGGCAGUCCGCUGGGGCACGUCUGACGCUGAUGCUCGAAGGUGCGGGAAUCAAACAGGAUUAGAUACCCUGGUAGUCCGCACGGUAAACGAUGAUUACCCGCUGUCGGCGGCAGACAGUCGGCGGCUAAGCGAAAGCGAUAAGUAAUCCACCUGGGGAGUACGCCGGCAACGGUGAAACUCAAAUGAAUUGACGGGG
rnacentral:rRNA from 1 species